rnacentral:lncRNA from 1 species
CUCAUCGAUGCGAGAAAACAUGUUAAGCGGCAUUAGUUGGCCGAAAAAAGUAAAAAAAGAUAAUCUUACUAGCGACAGAGUUUUUUGGUACGGCGGCUCCGCUGGUUUACCUUCACAGUUUACCUUCACAGUUGAGCGUUUUUCUUCGGUCAACCUGUAGGAAAUAAAAUGGUGAAUACAAUGGUAAAAAUUUUGCACGAAACGGGAAUCAUAAAGGAACUCAUCGGAUGAGAUUUUUUAUUUUUUAUGUGGCGGCACUGCUAGGCUUUACCCCGGAUUUUCGGCUUAUCUGCCUGUCUUUUUGCUUC